GAUGAACGCUGGCGGCGUGCCUAAUACAUGCAAGUCGAGCGAACGGACGAGAAGCUUGCUUUUUUGAUGUUAGCGGCGGACGGGUGAGUAACACGUGGAUAACCUACCUAUAAGACUGGGAUAACUUCGGGAAACCGGAGCUAAUACCGGAUAAUAUUUUGAACCGCAUGGUUCAAAAGUGAAAGACGGUCUUGCUGUCACUUAUAGAUGGAUCCGCGCUGCAUGAGCUAGUUGGUAAGGUAACGGCUUACCAAGGCAACGAGGCAUAGCCGACCUGAGAGGGGGAUCGGCCACACUGGAACUGAGACACGGUCCAGACUCCUACGGGAGGCAGCAGUAGGGAAUCUUCCGCAAUGGGCGAAAGCCUGACGGAGCAACGCCGCGUGAGUGAUGAAGAUCUUCGGAUCGUAAAGCUCUGUUAUUAGGGAAGAACAUAUGUGUAAGUAACUGUGCCCAUCUUGACGGUACCUAAUCAAAAAGCCCCGGCUAACUACGUG
rnacentral:rRNA from 1 species